rnacentral:tRNA from 1 species
UCCCUGGUGGUCCAGUGGCUAAGACUUUGUGCUUCCAAUACAAGGAGCGUGGGUUCAAUCCCUGGUCAGGGAG